rnacentral:rRNA from 1 species
ACACAUGCAAGUCGAGCGGUAACAGAGAUAGCUUGCUAUCUGCUGACGAGCGGCGGACGGGUGAGUAAUGCUUGGGAAUAUGCCUUAUGGUGGGGGACAACAGUUGGAAACGACUGCUAAUACCGCAUAACGUCUACGGACCAAAGGGGGGGAUCUUCGGACCUCUCGCCAUUUGAUUAGCCCAAGUGAGAUUAGCUAGUUGGUGAGGUAAAGGCUCACCAAGGCGACGAUCUCUAGCUGGUUUGAGAGGAUGAUCAGCCACACUGGGACUGAGACACGGCCCAGACUCCUACGGGAGGCAGCAGUGGGGAAUAUUGCACAAUGGGCGAAAGCCUGAUGCAGCCAUGCCGCGUGUGUGAAGAAGGCCUUCGGGUUGUAAAGCACUUUCAGUUGUGAGGAAAGGGGUGUAGUUAAUAGCUGCAUUCUGUGACGUUAACAACAGAAGAAGCACCGGCUAACUUCGUGCCAGCAGCCGCGGUAAUACGAGGGGUGCAAGCGUUAAUCGGAAUUACUGGGCGUAAAGCGUUCGUAGGCGGUCUAUUAAGCAAGAUGUGAAAGCCCAGGGCUCAACCUUGGAACUGCAUUUUGAACUGGUAGACUAGAGUACUGUAGAGGGUGGUGGAAUUUCCAGUGUAGCGGUGAAAUGCGUAGAGAUUGGAAGGAACAUCAGUGGCGAAGGCGGCCACCUGGACAGAUACUGACGCUGAGGAACGAAAGCGUGGGGAGCGAACAGGAUUAGAUACCCUGGUAGUCCACGCCGUAAACGAUGUCAACUAGCCGUUUGUGUCCUUGAGACGUGAGUGGCGCAGCUAACGCACUAAGUUGACCGCCUGGGGAGUACGGCCGCAAGGUUAAAACUCAAAUGAAUUGACGGGGGCCCGCACAAGCGGUGGAGCAUGUGGUU